CCUACGGGAGGCAGCAGUGGGGAAUAUUGCACAAUGGGGGAAACCCUGAUGCAGCGACGCCGCGUGAGUGAAGAAGUAAUUCGUUAUGUAAAGCUCUAUCAGCAGGGAAGAAAAUGACGGUACCUGAGUCAGAAGCCCCGGCUAACUACGUGCCAGCAGCCGCGGUAAUACGUAGGGGGCAAGCGUUAUCCGGAUUUACUGGGUGUAAAGGGAGCGUAGACGGCAGUGCAAGUCUGGAGUGAAAGGCGGGGGCUCAACCCCCGGACUGCUCUGGAAACUGUACGGCUGGAGUGCAGGAGAGGUAAGUGGAAUUCCUAGUGUAGCGGAGAAAUGCGUAGAUAUUAGGAGGAACACCAGUGGCGAAGGCGGCUUACUGGACUGUAACUGACGUUGAGGCUCGAAAGCGUGGGGAGCAAACAGGAUUAGAUACCCUUGUAGUC
rnacentral:rRNA from 1 species